AGUGAACGCUGGCGGUAGGCCUAACACAUGCAAGUCGAACGGCAGCACAGUAAGAGCUUGCUCUUACGGGUGGCGAGUGGCGGACGGGUGGGGAAUACAUCGGAAUCUACUUUUUCGUGGGGGAUAACGUAGGGAAACUUACGCUAAUACCGCAUACGACCUACGGGUGAAAGCAGGGGAUCUUCGGACCUUGCGCGAUUGAAUGAGCCGAUGUCGGAUUAGCUAGUUGGCGGGGUAAAGGCCCACCGAGGCGACGAUCCGUAGCUGGUCUGAGAGGAUGAACAGACAGACUGGAACUGAGACAGGGCCCAGACUCCGACAGUAGGAAGCAGUGGGGAAUAUUGGACAAAGGGGGAAAGCCUGAUCCAGCCAUACCGCGGGGGUGAAGAAGGACCUAGGGUUGUAAAGCCAUUUUGUUGGGAAAGAAAAGCAGCAGGUUAAGAACCCGCUGUUCUGACGGUACCCAAAGAAUAAGCACCGGCUAACUUCGUG
rnacentral:rRNA from 1 species